rnacentral:rRNA from 1 species
UACAGAGGUCUCAAGCGUUGUUCGGAUUCAUUGGGGCGUAAAGGGUGCGUAGGCGGCGCGGUAAGUCGGGUGUGAAAUCUCGGAAGCUUGAACUCCGAAACUGCAUUCGAUACUGGCGUGCUUGAGGACUGGAGAGGAGACUGGAAUUCAUGGAUGUAGCAGUGAAAUGCGUAGAGAGUCAUGGAGGAAGACCAGUGGCGAAGG